CGAACGGAAGUUAGAGCUUCGGUUUUAACUUUAGUGGCGAACGGGUGAGUAACGCGUGAGGAACCUGCCUUUCAGUGGGGGACAACAGUUGGAAACAACUGCUAAUACCGCAUGACACUUUUGGGAGACAUCUCCUGGAAGUCAAAGCUUUAUGUGCUGAAAGAUGGCCUCGCGUCUGAUUAGCUGGUUGGUGAGGUAACGGCUCACCAAGGCGACGAUCAGUAGCCGGUCUGAGAGGAUGAACGGCCACAUUGGGACUGAGAUACGGCCCAGACUCCUACGGGAGGCAGCAGUGGGGAAUAUUGGGCAAUGGGGGAAACC
rnacentral:rRNA from 1 species